rnacentral:lncRNA from 1 species
CAUAGAUAAGACCAUUGUUGCAACUACAUUUAGCUUUUGUUUGCAUGAUAAUAAUGGCCAUAAUAAAGCUACAAGGAGAUAUAUUUCCUCAUUUCCAUAUAAUUACAAUAACACUUAGGGUCCGUUUGAUUGCAAAAAUGGUAAAAGACAAAUCAAUUCUAUGUAAAUUAGAAAAGAAAAAACCAUCAAAAUUAUGAGAAUUCGAUUUCCACUUAAUUGACCAAAAACAUUCUUUUAAGUGUUUGUACCUUGGAAUCCGAACUUCAUUUUCACUUUCGUAUUAAACAGCCAAAGUAGAAAACGAAUUUCUUGGAUAUAAUAUUUUCCAUGGAAUUUAAUGCUAUCAAACGGACCCUUAGAUUUUUCUUUUCUUUUUUGAAUUUUAAAAAUUGUGUGUCAAAACAUCUAGGAUUAUACACAUGAUAAUCCCAUAUUUCAUGGACCAACUAGGACAUUCUUGUUGUGUAUUGGAUAACGUCAUCUAACCCAACCAUAAUCCACCGUGAGGCAUUCUGAUUUCUUGGCUCCUUGAUCAGUCCAUUUUUUCCAUUCCACUGUUCCUGGAUGCUUCAAAAUUUUCUCUUUUCGAUGUAGUUUGUUACCUGAAAGAAGAAAAUUUAUAAUAUAAUGAGAACA